GUGCAAUACCAAGCGUAACUAGAAAUACAGAUUCAAUGCUGAGAAAACCACUAGCUUCAGCAACUUCAAUGGUACCAUUGAAGAAGGUACUUUGAUAUGGAUGCUGAUCUAUUUCAUAGAUAAUGGUUCCAACGAGAUCAAAAUUCCCAGACUGAAGAUAUUUGCUGACAGCGAAAAGGUAUGGGAAAGUUGCUUGUGACGAUGCUGGUACCGAUGCAUUGUUAAAAGUCAGUGCGGUAAGAUUUUGAAUCAGUAAUUGAUGAUCGAAAGUGUAAUGAACACUGGCCUUUAUUGCAAUGACAUUCAAGCUAGAAUCCCCAUUAUUUUUCACUCCGGCCAAUAGUUCAGUCUCUUCUCCGGCCACCACUAUACGUGCGCUAUUUUUGGGGAAAACACACACGGUAUCAACCCCUGGAGCUGCGCUGAAGCUCCCAUCACCAAAAUCUAGCUCAUUCUCCGCAACAAUCCCUAAGUCAGUGGCAUCGUCAGCGGCGGCAUCUUCAGAUUCCACAUCCGCAUCCGAUUGACAUCUAACAACUUGGGAAAAAGGCGACGCAAGGAGAAGGAACGCAAGAAAGAAAAUCCUGAAGGCCUUCGACGCCAUGAUUGAGAGCUCCGAAGACUGCCGUAG
rnacentral:misc_RNA from 1 species